rnacentral:rRNA from 1 species
GCUAGCUACAGGCUUAACACAUGCAAGUCGAGGGGCAGCAUGGUCUUAGCUUGCUAAGGCCGAUGGCGACCGGCGCACGGGUGAGUAACACGUAUCCAACCUGCCGUCUACUCUUGGACAGCCUUCUGAAAGGAAGAUUAAUACAAGAUGGCAUCAUGAGUCCGCAUGUUCACAUGAUUAAAGGUAUUCCGGUAGACGAUGGGGAUGCGUUCCAUUAGAUAGUAGGCGGGGUAACGGCCCACCUAGUCUUCGAUGGAUAGGGGUUCUGAGAGGAAGGUCCCCCACAUUGGAACUGAGACACGGUCCAAACUCCUACGGGAGGCAGCAGUGAGGAAUAUUGGUCAAUGGGCGAGAGCCUGAACCAGCCAAGUAGCGUGAAGGAUGACUGCCCUAUGGGUUGUAAACUUCUUUUAUAAAGGAAUAAAGUCGGGUAUGGAUACCCGUUUGCAUGUACUUUAUGAAUAAGGAUCGGCUAACUCCGUGCCAGCAGCCGCGGUAAUACGGAGGAUCCGAGCGUUAUCCGGAUUUAUUGGGUUUAAAGGGAGCGUAGAUGGAUGUUUAAGUCAGUUGUGAAAGUUUGCGGCUCAACCGUAAAAUUGCAGUUGAUACUGGAUAUCUUGAGUGCAGUUGAGGCAGGCGGAAUUCGUGGUGUAGCGGUGAAAUGCUUAGAUAUCACGAAGAACUCCGAUUGCGAAGGCAGCCUGCUAAGCUGCAACUGACAUUGAGGCUCGAAAGUGCGGGUAUCAAACAGGAUUAGAUACCCUGGUAGUCCACACGGUAAACGAUGAAUACUCGCUGUUUGCGAUAUACUGCAAGCGGCCAAGCGAAAGCGUUAAGUAUUCCACCUGGGGAGUACGCCGGCAACGGUGAAACUCAAAGGAAUUGACGGGGGCCCGCACAAGCGGAGGAACAUGUGGUUUAAUUCGAUGAUACGCGAGGAACCUUACCCGGGCUUAAAUUGCAGAUGAAUUACGGUGAAAGCCGUAAGCCGCAAGGCAUCUGUGAAGGUGCUGCAUGGUUGUCGUCAGCUCGGGCCGUGAGGUGUCGGCUUAAGUGCCAUAACGAGCGCAACCCUUGUUGUCAGUUACUAACAGGUUCCGCUGAGGACUCUGACAAGACUGCCAUCGUAAGAUGUGAGGAAGGUGGGGAUGACGUCAAAUCAGCACGGCCCUUACGUCCGGGACUACACACGUGUUACAAUGGGGGGUACGGAGGGCCGCUACCACGCGAGUGGAUGCCAAUCCCCAAAACCUCUCUCAGUUCGGACUGGAGUCUGCAACCCGACUCCACGAAGCUGGAUUCGCUAGUAAUCGCGCAUCAGCCACGGCGCGGUGAAUACGUUCCCGGGCCUUGUACACACCGCCCGUCAAGCCAUGGGAGCCGGGGGUACCUGAAGUGCGUAACCGCGAGGAGCGCCCUAGGGUAAAACUGG